AACACUGCGUUAAUAAAUAAAUAACCCUAAAUGCACAGUACGAAAUCGCCAACCUCCGUUCCCGCUUACGGGAUUGUGGCAACUGAGCUGUGAGGCUUCCUGGAAUACUGGUGGGUGAUGUUGCCCUGGAAGUAUGUGGCAGCAAACUUCUGGAACUUGAACUCGGACAAAUCUUCUUCAUCCUCGGGCGCUAGCAUCAUCGGACUGAUGAUUUCAUGCUGGUCUUUAGAAACUGGCAGAUCCUUCAACAAGAAUUUUAAUCAAUCAUCAGUCAGGUGGCUAACAUUAUUUUGACAAUGUGAAAAAGUACAUGUUUCAGAUAACAUAAUGUUACUUAUUUUAAUCAAUUUACAGAAACCAAAAGCAAUAAUGCCAUGUGACUAAAGCCUAAUAGCUAGCAAAAUAAUGGGACCCUCAUUUAUUUUUUAAAUAUUGUGUUAAACAAACAGAACAUAUGGAGUGAAACAAAGUGCAUAAAAGGUUUGCUAAAAUGUAAA